UACGAAGGGGGCUAGCGUUGCUCGGAAUUACUGGGCGUAAAGGGCGCGUAGGCGGAUAGUUUAGUCAGAGGUAAAAGCCCAGGGCUCAACCUUGGAACUGCCUUUGAUACUGGCUAUCUUGAGUUCGGGAGAGGUGAGUGGAAUGCCGAGUGUAGAGGUGAAAUUCGUAGAUAUUCGGCGGAACACCAGUGGCGAAGGCGACUCACUGGCCCCGAUACUGACGCUGAGGCGCGAAAGCGUGGGGAGCAAACAGG
rnacentral:rRNA from 1 species